GACGAACGCUGGCGGCGUGCUUAACACAUGCAAGUCGAACGGAAAGGCCCUGCUUUUGUGGGGUGCUCGAGUGGCGAACGGGUGAGUAACACGUGAGUAACCUGCCCUUGACUUUGGGAUAACUUCAGGAAACUGGGGCUAAUACCGGAUAGGAGCUCCUGCUGCAUGGUGGGGGUUGGAAAGUUUCGGCGGUUGGGGAUGGACUCGCGGCUUAUCAGCUUGUUGGUGGGGUAGUGGCUUACCAAGGCUUUGACGGGUAGCCGGCCUGAGAGGGUGACCGGCCACAUUGGGACUGAGAGACGGCCCAGACGCCUACGGGAGGCAGCGGUGGGGAGUAUUACACAAUGGGCGGGAGCCUGAUGCAGCAACGCCGCGUGCGGGAUGACGGCCUUCGGGUUGUAAACCGCUUUCGCCUGUGACGAAGCGUGAGUGACGGUAAUGGGUAAAGAAGCACCGGCUAACUACGUG
rnacentral:rRNA from 1 species